rnacentral:ribozyme from 1 species
ACCAAAAAAAAAAUUCAAAAACAGGGCAAAUAUGUAAAUAUUUUAGAUUUACCAUUCUGA